AUUGAACGCUGGCGGCAUGCUUUACACAUGCAAGUCGAACGGUAACAGGUUAAGCUGACGAGUGGCGAACGGGUGAGUGAUGCAUCGGAACGUGCCCGGUCGUGGGGGAUAACGCAGCGAAAGCUGCGCUAAUACCGCAUACGAUCGGAGGAUGAAAGCGGGGGACCGUAAGGCCUCGCGCGAUCGGAGCGGCCGAUGUCAGAUUAGGUAGUUGGUGGGGUAAAGGCCCACCAAGCCGACGAUCUGUAGCUGGUCUGAGAGGACGACCAGCCACACUGGGACUGAGACACGGCCCAGACUCCUACGGGAGGCAGCAGUGGGGAAUUUUGGACAAUGGACGAAAGCCUGAUCCAGCAAUGCCGCGUGCAGGAAGAAGGCCUUCGGGUUGUAAACUGCUUUUGUACGGAGCGAAAAGGUCCUUUCUAAUACAAGGGGCUCAUGACGGUACCGUAAGAAUAAGCACCGGCUAACUACGUGCCAGCCGCCGCCGUAA
rnacentral:rRNA from 1 species